rnacentral:rRNA from 1 species
GACGUAGGGCGCGAGCGUUGUCCGGAUUUAUUGGGCGUAAAGAGCUCGUAGGCGGCUUGUCGCGUCGACCGUGAAACCUCACAGCUCAACUGUGAGCCUGCGGUCGAUACGGGCAGGCUAGAGUUCGGUAGGGGAGACUGGAAUUCCUGGUGUAGCGGUGAAAUGCGCAGAUAUCAGGAAGAACACCCGUGGCGAAGGCGGCUCUCUGGGACGGUACUGACGCUGAGACGCGAAAGCGUGGGGAGCGAACAGG